rnacentral:lncRNA from 1 species
ACAGGCACAAAGGAGAGGCAAGGUGCAAGGUGGAGAAAGGAGAGAAUUGCUGACCUCAGGGUGAGUCAGUGCGGGAAGGGGCAGGAGCGCGGGAUGCCUUGGGUCUCUUGGUUCUUCCAGAUCAUCUUAAAUUGACGGGAGUGACAGCAGCUCUGGGAAACGAAUCUCCUUUCUAUCACCAGAAGAUAUGCAACUCCAGCAUAAGCGUUUUCAUGCCGUUCUGCCAAGCUUGUGAUAUUUAUGGGAACUUUAUUUGA